rnacentral:rRNA from 1 species
CAGCCGCCGCGGUAAUACGUAGGGUGCGAGCGUUAAUCGGAAUUACUGGGCGUAAAGCGUGCGCAGGCGGUUUUGUAAGCCAGACGUGAAAGCCCCGGGCUUAACCUGGGAAUGGCGUUUGGGACUGCAAGGCUCGAGUACGGCAGAGGGGACUAGAAUUCCUGGUGUAGCAGUGAAAUACGUAGAUAUCAGGAGGAAUACCGAUGGCGAAGGCAGGUCCCUGGGUUAGUACUGACGCUCAUGCACGAAAGCGUGGGGAGCAAACAGGAUUAGAUACCCUGGUAGUCCACGCCCUAAACUAUGUCGACUGGUUGUUGGGGAUUUGACAUCCUUAGUAACGAAGCUAACGCGUGAAGUCGACCGCCUGGGGAGUACAGCCGCAAGGUUAAAACUCAAAGGAAUUGACGG